CCAUGAAACAAUUAUCACUAGCAUGAGAACGAAGCAUGAUAUGAAGAUGAUCAGCAAUUAAAGGUUUAAUCAUGCUACCAUAUAAUUUCAGACUAUUGAUUUUGCUCAACUAACUCACAAGAGAAGAGUUUAGAUUACCAGUGCAUUUAGCAUUCUUCAAGCCAAAUACCUUUUAGAUUCUUUACACCCUUGGCUGAAGAAAAUCUCUCUUUUUUUUUAUUUGCAAGGGAAUGUUUAUUGUAUCUUUCAUCGAGGUGUCCUUCAAGUUGAAAUUUCU
rnacentral:lncRNA from 1 species